UUUUGUAUAAUGGGUCAGCGACUUAUAUUCUGUAGCAAGGUUAACCGAAUAGGGGAGCCGAAGGGAAACCGAGUCUUAACUGGGCGUUAAGUUGCAGGGUAUAGACCCGAAACCCGGUGAUCUAGCCAUGGGCAGGUUGAAGGUUGGGUAACACUAACUGGAGGACCGAACCGACUAAUGUUGAAAAAUUAGCGGAUGACUUGUGGCUGGGGGUGAAAGGCCAAUCAAACCGGGAGAUAGCUGGUUCUCCCCGAAAGCUAUUUAGGUAGCGCCUCGUGAACUCAUCUCCGGGGGUAGAGCACUGUUUCGGCAAGGGGGUCAUCCCGACUUACCAACCCGAUGCAAACUGCGAAUACCGGAGAAUGUUAUCACGGGAGACACACGGCGGGUGCUAACGUCCGUCGUGAAGAGGGAAACAACCCAGACCGCCAGCUAAGGUCCCAAAGUCAUGGUUAAGUGGGAAACGAUGUGGGAAGGCCCAGACAGCCAGGAUGUUGGCUUAGAAGCAGCCAUCAUUUAAAGAAAGCGUAAUAGCUCACUGGUCGAGUCGGCCUGCGCGGAAGAUGUAACGGGGCUAAACCAUGCACCGAAGCUGCGGCAGCGACGCUUAUGCGUUGUUGGGUAGGGGAGCGUUCUGUAAGCCUGCGAAGGUGUACUGUGAGGUAUGCUGGAGGUAUCAGAAGUGCGAAUGCUGACAUAAGUAACGAUAAAGCGGGUGAAAAGCCCGCUCGCCGGAAGACCAAGGGUUCCUGUCCAACGUUAAUCGGGGCAGGGUGAGUCGACCCCUAAGGCGAGGCCGAAAGGCGUAGUCGAUGGGAAACAGGUUAAUAUUCCUGUACUUGGUGUUACUGCGAAGGGGGGACGGAGAAGGCUAUGUUGGCCGGGCGACGGUUGUCCCGGUUUAAGCGUGUAGGCUGGUUUUCCAGGCAAAUCCGGAAAAUCAAGGCUGAGGCGUGAUGACGAGGCACUACGGUGCUGAAGCAACAAAUGCCCUGCUUCCAGGAAAAGCCUCUAAGCAUCAGGUAACAUCAAAUCGUACCCCAAACCGACACAGGUGGUCAGGUAGAGAAUACCAAGGCGCUUGAGAGAACUCGGGUGAAGGAACUAGGCAAAAUGGUGCCGUAACUUCGGGAGAAGGCACGCUGAUAUGUAGGUGAAGCGACUUGCUCGUGGAGCUGAAAUCAGUCGAAGAUACCAGCUGGCUGCAACUGUUUAUUAAAAACACAGCACUGUGCAAACACGAAAGUGGACGUAUACGGUGUGACGCCUGCCCGGUGCCGGAAGGUUAAUUGAUGGGGUUAGCGGUAACGCGAAGCUCUUGAUCGAAGCCCCGGUAAACGGCGGCCGUAACUAUAACGGUCCUAAGGUAGCGAAAUUCCUUGUCGGGUAAGUUCCGACCUGCACGAAUGGCGUAAUGAUGGCCAGGCUGUCUCCACCCGAGACUCAGUGAAAUUGAACUCGCUGUGAAGAUGCAGUGUACCCGCGGC
rnacentral:rRNA from 1 species